rfam:Parcubacteria (Azambacteria) bacterium GW2011_GWC1_46_13 TX33_C0024, whole genome shotgun sequence.
GCCCCCGUGGCGGAAUUGGCAUACGCGUACGGCUUAGGACCGUAUCCCGCAAGGGUUGCAGGUUCAACUCCUGCCGGGGGCA